ACCCCGAGGAAAAGAAAUCAACCGAGAUUCCCCCAGUAGCGGCGAGCGAACGGGGAGCAGCCCAGAGCCUGAAUCAGUGUGUGUGUUAGUGGAAGCGUCUGGAAAGGCGCGCGAUACAGGGUGACAGCCCCGUACACAAAAAUGCACAUGCUGUGAGCUCGAUGAGUAGGGCGGGACACGUGGUAUCCUGUCUGAAUAUGGGGGGACCAUCCUCCAAGGCUAAAUACUCCUGACUGACCGAUAGUGAACCAGUACCGUGAGGGAAAGGCGAAAAGAACCCCGGCGAGGGGAGUGAAAAAGAACCUGAAACCGUGUACGUACAAGCAGUGGGAGCACGCUUAGGCGUGUGACUGCGUACCUUUUGUAUAAUGGGUCAGCGACUUAUAUUCUGUAGCAAGGUUAACCGAAUAGGGGAGCCGAAGGGAAACCGAGUCUUAACUGGGCGUUAAGUUGCAGGGUAUAGACCCGAAA
rnacentral:rRNA from 1 species